UUUCUCUUGGUGUGAAUGGAAAGAGUAUCACUUCGUCACCCAAGCUGGAGUGCAGUGGUAUGAUCUCGGCUCACUGCAACCUCCGCCUCCCGGGUUCAAGCAAUUCUUCUGCCUCAGCCUGUCAGUGGCGUUUGAACAACAGCGACUCCAUUUUGAGUAAGGGCUAGGAAAAUGUGGCUGGGACUUGCUGGGCUGAUUCCCAGAAAUAGCCUCCCGAUGUUUAUGGUUAAGGGAAUAGAUUAAUAAUGUUUGCUAAACACACCCAGACUUGGGAGAGUCCUAAUAUCCUGAUAUCUUGAGAGCAAAGGCAUUCCAAAUUUCACUUUAAAGAUAAUAAUAUCGAUUCUUGCAAAAUAUAGUAAUUAAGAAAAUUAAUCCUUUAUCACAAACCCUUGUAGCAGAGCACAUCUUCCCAUAUAUACAAGCAUUGUAACUAGGGCAGA
rnacentral:lncRNA from 1 species